GAGCGGCGGACGGGUGAGUAAUGCUUGGGAACAUGCCUUUAGGUGGGGGACAACCAUUGGAAACGAUGGCUAAUACCGCAUAAUGUCUACGGACCAAAGGGGGCUUCGGCUCUCGCCUUUAGAUUGGCCCAAGUGGGAUUAGGUAGUUGGUGAGGUAAUGGCUCACCAAGCCGACGAUCCCUAGCUGGUUUGAGAGGAUGAUCAGCCACACUGGAACUGAGACACGGUCCAGACUCCUACGGGAGGCAGCAGUGGGGAAUAUUGCACAAUGGGCGCAAGCCUGAUGCAGCCAUGCCGCGUGUGUGAAGAAGGCCUUCGGGUUGUAAAGCACUUUCAGUAAGGAGGAAAGGUUAGUAGUUAAUACCUGCUAGCUGUGACGUUACUUACAGAAGAAGCACCGGCUAACUCCGUGCCAGCAGCCGCGGUAAUACGGAGGGUGCGAGCGUUAAUCGGAAUUACUGGGCGUAAAGCGUACGCAGGCGGUUUGUUAAGCGAGAUGUGAAAGCCCCGGGCUCAACCUGGGAACUGCAUUUCGAACUGGCAAACUAGAGUGUGAUAGAGGGUGGUAGAAUUUCAGGUGUAGCGGUGAAAUGCGUAGAGAUCUGAAGGAAUACCGAUGGCGAAGGCAGCCACCUGGGUCAACACUGACGCUCAUGUACGAAAGCGUGGGGAGCAAACGGGAUUAGAUACCCCGGUAGUCCACGCCGUAAACGAUGUCUACUAGGAGUUCGGUUUUUCGGAACUGUCUUCCAAAGCUAACGCAUUAAGUAGACCGCCUGGGGGAGUACGGCCGCAAGGUUAAAACUCAAAUGAAAUUGACGGGGGCCCGCACAAGCGGUGGAGCAUGUGGGUUUAAUUCGAUGCAACGCGAAGAACCUUACCUACACUUGACAUCCAGAGAACUUACUAGAAGAUAGUUUGGGUGCCCUUCGGGAACUCUGAAGACAGGUGCUGGCAUGGGCUGUCGUCAGCCUCGUGUUUGUGAAAAUGUUUGGGGUUAAGUCCCCGCAACGAAGCGCAAACCCCUAUUCCUUAUUUGCCAAGCGAAUUCGGGUCGGGGAACUCUUAAGGAGAACUGGCCGGUGGAU
rnacentral:rRNA from 1 species